GAUGAACGCUGGCGGCGUGCCUAAUACAUGCAAGUCGAGCGAACAGACGAGGAGCUUGCUCCUCUGACGUUAGCGGCGGACGGGUGAGUAACACGUGGAUAACCUACCUAUAAGACUGGGAUAACUUCGGGAAACCGGAGCUAAUACCGGAUAAUAUAUUGAACCGCAUGGUUCAAUAGUGAAAGACGGUUUUGCUGUCACUUAUAGAUGGAUCCGCGCCGCAUUAGCUAGUUGGUAAGGUAACGGCUUACCAAGGCAACGAUGCGUAGCCGACCUGAGAGGGUGAUCGGCCACACUGGAACUGAGACACGGUCCAGACUCCUACGGGAGGCAGCAGUAGGGAAUCUUCCGCAAUGGGCGAAAGCCUGACGGAGCAACGCCGCGUGAGUGAUGAAGGUCUUCGGAUCGUAAAACUCUGUUAUUAGGGAAGAACAAAUGUGUAAGUAACUAUGUACGUCUUGACGGUACCUAAUCAGAAGGCCACGGCUAACUACGUG
rnacentral:rRNA from 1 species